CCUACGGGUGGCAGCAGUGAGGAAUAUUGGUCAAUGGACGGAAGUCUGAACCAGCCAUGCCGCGUGCAGGAAGACGGCUCUAUGAGUUGUAACCUGCUUUUGUACAAGGGUAAACCUGAAUACGUGUAUUCAGCUGAAAGUACUGUACGAAUAAGGAUCGGCUAACUCCGUGCCAGCAGCCGCGGUAAUACGGAGGAUCCAAGCGUUAUCCGGAUUUAUUGGGUUUAACGGGUGCGUAGGCGGAUUGAUAAGUUAGAGGUGAAAUGUCCGAGCUUAACUCGGGAACUGCCUCUAAUACUGUUGAGCUAGAGAGUAGAUGCGGUAGGCGGAAUGUAUGGUGUAGCGGUGAAAUGCUUAGAGAUCAUACAGAACACCGAUUGCGAAGGCAGCUUACCAAUCUAUAUCUGACGUUGAGGCACGAAAGCGUGGGGAGCAAACAGGAUUAGAUACCCGGGUAGUC
rnacentral:rRNA from 1 species